UAUAUAUAAUUUUUAUAAAUGUAUACAAUAUAUAUAUAUGUACAUAUCCAUGGAGAGUGAAUGCAAUUUCUCCUACUGUUAGUUCUGCAUAUAGGAAAAUUUUUUUCAAGCUUGCUAAGGAAAUCUGUCCACGUAAAUAUAUAUAUAUUGUUUCUUGGUUUAUAUCAUUAGCUUUUCUGUUUUCUUUUUUUUUUUUUCUUUUUGAGGGGAAAAAAGGAGAAGAAAAAUAUUUCAUUGAGAUGAUUAAAUCAUUCUCAAUAAGAGGAUAUUUUCGAGUCUGUUAUUAGUUGUGUAGAAUAAUAAUGAGAUAAUGAAUUGAAGGAUAAACAAAUCUAUCAAUUCGAAGUAUGUAUAUUUUGGUUAAUAGAUGACUGAAUAUUUUGAUUUGCCAUCUUUGUUGAUACCAAGAACGGAUUGUUAUUCGUAUUGCGUUCAAUUUAGACGGAGUUUGUGAUAAGGAACAAAAUGAUGUCACUUCCGUACGUCUGACAUCAUUGAGUCGACGGCUCAAUGUCAUUGCCUGCUUUCAAAAUAAUCGCUGCCCACUAGAUACCAGUGUUGUUUUCAUAAGUGGGGAGGACCUUGAUGUCGCAGUCCCUAAAGUCACGACGAAGUUUUUUUCUUUUUUUGGUUUUUUCUUCUUUUUUCUUCUUUUUUUUUUCUUAUCCCAACUGUGACAUAUUUGCGAGGGCGUAAAAAAUAUCGAUUUCCACGAAAAAUUCGAUUAUUCUUAUCAUUUAUAAUCGAGUUUCUUUUAUUCAUCUUUUAAAGUACACAUGUCAAUGUAAUCCGCAAAAAAUUUUAUUGGAUUGAAUUUUGAAUGUGUAUUUUUUUAUUUGAUCGAGCAAUACGUCAAGAUAUUCAACGUUACAACGUUAUACCUAUUUGCGUGAUGAAAUAUAAAUAGAGAGUGAAAAAAGAAGAACGUACGUAGAAUAAAUAUAAUUUAUAUAAUUAAUUAUAUUAUCGAUCGAUUUUGUUAAUCAUAGAUUUCUAUAGUACCGACCUUUGGUAUAACCAAUUUUUUAAUGAUACUUUUCAUUUCCGCGGGAUGUCGCUUCAAGUUCGCGGCAAAAUUUAAUUUCUACUUGGCUAUCAUUGAAAACUACAAAGGUAGACGUUCAUAAGGGGCCAUUGCGAAUCGACGAGGUCAGCGGUCUGAUAUGUAUGUAUAUACGUUCAAUACAAAGAUUCCGAUAACAGUCUUAUAGUUAGCAGUAGCGAAAGAAAGCAUAUUCUCCGACCUCGCCAUUCUCCGAUGGAACGAGAAGGCCUCCAAUGACUCACUACCAUAUUACGAGAAGCAGAACAGUUGUGACAUGGACCGCUAAAUGCUUACCAGCGAAACCGUUAAAUUCAAUUAGAGCGUUACUUUCUUUCUCUCGUUUACUACGUCAUACAUUUCUAAGUAACUGCUGUUUAUUUAUUUUUCAUCGUUUUUUUUCGAUUUCAACGUUUAUAAAUAUUAAUUUUAUGCACUAUAGUAAACCGUUAAAAAAGAUCUUUUGUCUAUCUUUUUCUUGUUGAAUAAAUGAUCUCUCUUUUUUCUUU